CAGGCGCGGCGUGGUGGGGGUGUAGGGCGAGGUGACCUUGGCUCAGUCUUCUGUGCCAAAGUGUCGGGCGGCAACACGUGCGCGCACCUGGCCGUGCCUGGCCUGCCCGCCACCUGUAGCGGUCGCCGCACCGAGAGCCCCGCCCCCUUCCUGCGUGGCCCGCGUGGCCAGUGGGCAGGGCCGGGCGGCGCCCCGUGUCCCCCUGCGGCGCCCCGGCUGGCUGCCCGCCGCCGCCGCCGCCCUUCUGGCCAGAAGUAAAGGCCGUGCCUUGCCGGGGCCGGCUCCAGCCUGCUUCCUGGGCGACUCCGCGGGUGCUUCUCACAGUCUGGGGCUCGCGGGGGCGCCCAUCCCCUGUGGAAGGAGGACUCGAUCCCGCUCCUGGGGACACGCGCGUCCUGCUUCCUCCUUGUGGCAGCGCUCGGGGUCGAGGUGACCGAGACUCCCCAGAGCGGGGAAUGAGCCCGGGCUCUCGCCAGCGCAGGGAACAGGCCUGCGCAGGAACCGCGGGACCGGGUAACGCCCUGUACAGACCAAGGGAGAGGCGACUUCCGGUGCAAAUGCCACCUCUCGAGUUUCCGGUGCAGCCACGUUGACCUGGAGACCACGCAUUGGUCGAAGGCCGGAGGGAAGAGAAGCUCGAACCAGCCUGGGAGGGACCCUCCUAGUGCCACUGACGACAGAGACAGCGUCCGCACGGCCGAGAAGGGCUGGACACGCCACACACGGGUGAAGCAGGCAAUCUGUCCCGCAGAGGGGAGAUGGGCGGCCAGGCCUGGGUCUACCCCCACCACCGUGACCUUCCGAGAGGCCUCGUUAGCACCGUCUUCGUUUCCCUGUUGCAGCUGUCAGCAGGUCUGCUCACGGUCAGCGUUCCCAGUUCCACGGCACCGCAAACCGUCACUUUUGAUGCUUGCCGGGUUAUACCCUGCGGAAGCCUGGAGAACCAACGGCGGCUCUCCGGAGCUGACAAAUACCUCUGUCCCUACCCCGGGGUGGGAGGCACGAGGGCUCUCUGGGGAGCAGGUCCCUGCGGCCACUGGCUGGAUGUUCUCUGGACAACCCAGUACCAAGGCUGGACGUCAGAAGGGGGUGCACAUCCGAGUUUAAAACCCAAAAUUCACUUUUCAAAAGGGAUUCCCCCACCGAAUUGCAAAUUACAUCAGUGUAACCCUGUCACUAUUUCCAUAAACGUCCCCACUUCUGAAGACACAGCUUUAAAUAGAACUUUUGGGAUGGGAGCAGAUAUAACGGGGACGGACCCAAUUGGACAGUUCUCUUUAAAAAUACUGUCUCCUGCCUCAACCGUCCCAACCCCUACUGCCUCUGCAAGACCUGGCGCUGGCUCUGUACCUGUGUCUUUCCCCAGCGACCCGUCGAAGGUAACCAUUGGAGAAGUCAAGGAUUUAAGGUAGACAGUUGCACUAGAAACUGCGUAUGAGGAUGCAAAUGCCUGGUUAGAAUGGAUCAAAUGUUCUGUCCCCACCCUAAAUAAGAGUGACUGUGAUGCCUGUGUGAUGGGAAGACCAGAGGCCCAGAUAGUUCGCUUUCCACGUGGAUGGUCUGUGGAUCCUACGGGCAGGCACUGGAUGGCAGCCUCUUCCAGGAGACCACGGCGUGGGGGAAUGAAUCAUGCAAAACCCCAUCAUUGCUCUUCCCUGACGUGAGAGGUCUUGCGGGUCAGCCCCCGGGGACCGUGAGGCCACCAGCCUGUGUCAACUUCACCCUGUUUCUCUAGACAGGAGGAGGGGGCGGUGUCUCUUGGAAACAAGACAGGGUCCAAUGAAAGCCUGGCCGGCAAGAAGCUACAGGAUCAGUCUGCCCUCUCCAUACUCCGAGGAGGCGUCUGGCGGGAUUGUAAAGACUGACUGAGGUCCUACCGGGAAGCUGGAGUGGCACCUGGGCUUUGGUGCAACUGGCCAUCCUUCAGCUCCCAGUUGAGGAAAGGAGACAUCGGACAAAAAGAGAAAUAGAUGCCCCCAGACGAUCUUUUGAUCCCCAUAUUUUUAUUCAUGCUAUUGGAGUCCCCCAAGGGGGACCCAGUGAAUUCAAAGCUAGAAAUCAAAUAGCUGCUGGGUUUGAAUCUAUAUUCUUCUGGUGGUCCACUGUAAAGAAAAAUGUAGACUGGGUCAACUACAUAUACUAUAAUCAGCAAAGGUUUGUAAAUUAUACCGGGGAUGCCAUCAAAGGUACAGUCGAACAACUGGGACCCCCCCAGUACAAUGACCUGGGAGAAUGGCUUUCGAUGUGUCAGCAGGCAGAGGUGGAGGUGUGUCAUGGUUGGAGACCAGAGCUGCCCUUACACCCCAACAACACAGCUCCGAUGACAGUCACCAAGGCUCUGCAAGGACCUGCUGCCGUGGCUAAUGAGCUGGCCGAACACUCAGGGGCAGAGGACCCUUCACCAGCCUCCUGGCACGGCAGUUUGGAAAAUGGAGAGGGCUGACGACGUCAGUGCUGACUUCCUUAAUUAUUGUGUUUGGUGCCUUAACAUCAGUGGGAUGUUGCAUUAUCCCUUGUGCUGGGGGACUAAUCCAGAGAUUAGUAGAAACAGCCCUAAGCAAACAACCUCUUCCACUGCCGUAUGAACCCAAGUUGUUAGUGCUGGAAGACCAAGAACACCAAAGUCGCCUCCUCACUGGAUUUGAAGAAGCGUGAAAAGGUUGAACACGAAGGGGGAAAUUGGAGGAGAAGAUAACCUUGGCCUAAUCCUUUCUGCCAAAGUAUCAGGAGGUAACUCUCUUCCUCAUACCUUACCGUGUCUGACUUUCCACACUAAGAGCCCCCUACCCCUCUUCCUUUCUGCCCGAGCAACAUGCUUAGCCAGCCGGGCAAGGGCGGGGGUGUGCGGUGGGAGUCCCUGCCAGUGGGACGCGUCAGGGACAAAGGUGAAGACCUUCCCUGCAGCAGGCUGGCUCCCCCCGCUGCCCCCAGCGCCCUUCUGAUGGGAAGUAAAGCUUGUGCCUUGCCGAGACCA